UUUUUAUUUUGCUCAGAUCAAAUACAUUGAGCUGACAGCAAAAAUAGGCACCAUGUUCAGGUAAGAAAACUAAAUAUCUCCUCAAAGAGUUUCUUGCUGAUUGCAGCUAGCCAGGGUUUUAAUCCCUCAUAUAUUUGCAUAGGUUGCUGCUUUGACUAGGCAAGAAUUGGUUGUGUAAUGUCUUGAAAGUUAGAUAUUAAGCCUAAGUCUUUUCACUUUUAGGUUUUCUCUGAUAGUCUGUAUUUCUCUGAUAUUUGCUAUCACAGCAAAGCCAUAUAAACCCUGGAAUAAACUUAGAGAUGAAGCAUUCCAGGAUACAAUUAUGUCCAUAGAUGACAAAGAAAUGAAGUCCUGGGGGGUUGAAGUGGAGCCCCCAGAGCACAUGGAUGAGACUGACUAUGAUGUUGACCCUAGCAUGAAGAUUUGGAAGAGUAUGGCAGGCAAUGGACUGGACAAGCAGCACCUGAAGGCCAAAGAAGAGAUGUACCACCUUUCACUGGUUGAUAUCCCUAAAGAUCAAAUCCAAAACCUGGACACCCUCCCUGCUGACGACGCCCAAGAUAAGAACUCAGAGGAAGAAUCCAAGUAUCAGGAAGCUGAGGAGGAUAAAGAUGACAUCGACCACCCGGUUUUCGUUAAGGUGAUCUCAGAUGAACCUGAGCAGGACUGGGAUGAAAUCUACCACAAGGCGAGGGAGCAAAUAAAUAUAUAUCUGGCCCCACUAGUGGCCAAAUACAAAGAUGGCACAGAGAUCCGUGCUUCAUACUCUGAACCAGAGAAGGAUGAGGACUACCUGUAUCAUCAUGAUGACCAGAGCUCACUUGUGCAGGUGGAACCGCUGAGACGUGAGGUCAGAGUUCACAUUCAGCCAGAAGAGGACAUGGACGUUCUGUACCACAAAGACCCACAGCUUGUCCCUUACCAAGAUGAUGCUAAAGCUGCUGCUCCUGUUGAACUGCCAUCUCAAAGGAAGUACAGCGAACCAGAGGAAGAUCUGGAUCAUUUUGACCACCACUAA
rnacentral:lncRNA from 1 species